rfam:Heterocephalus glaber contig176472, whole genome shotgun sequence.
AGAUGUAAGGGUAAUCUGGCUUGACGACAUCUAUCACCCCACUGAUUGCCAAGGUUGAUUUGGCUGAUCUGGCUGGCUAGGCAGGUGUCUGCUCCCUCCAUCAUGGCUCCAUGUGCAUUCCUCCUGAAGCUGUGCAUUCUGUGGACGAGGACAACCUUCCUUAAUAGAUGAGGACCAUUUCCUUGGCCAAAGGUACACAAGCGGCUGCCCUCCUCCACUAGGACCUCCAAACAAGUUCUCAAAAUAAAAAAUUAAAAAGGGAUGGGGAUGUAGCUCAGCGCAAAGACCCUGGGUUCAAUCCCCAGUACUACCAAAAAAAAAAAAAGAAGAAGGG